rnacentral:tRNA from 1 species
GUUUAAGUAGUUUAUAAAAAACAUUGGUCUUGUAAACCGAAACAGAAUGAUUCCAUUCCUUAAACU